CGGGGGCUGAGUAGAGUGGCGCACGGGUGAGUAACACGUAGGUAAUUUGCCUUUGGGUGGGGAAUAACUCAGGGAAACUUGAGCUAAUACCGCAUAAUGCAGCGGCUCGACAUCGAGACAGUUGUUAAAGCGGGGGAUCGCAAGACCUCGCGCCUAAAGAGAAGCCUGCGGCAGAUUAGCUAGUUGGUAGGGUAAUGGCCUACCAAGGCGACGAUCUGUAACCGGCCUGAGAGGGCGGUCGGUCACACUGACACUGACAUACGGGUCAGACUCCUACGGGAGGCAGCAGUCGGGAAUUUUGGGCAAUGGGCGAAAGCCUGACCCAGCAACGCCGCGUGAAGGAUGAAAUUUUUCGGAAUGUAAACUUCGCAAGAACGGGAAGAAUAAGUAGAAGAUAAUACCUUCUAUGAUGACGGUACCGUUUGUAAGCUCCGGCUAACUCCGUGCCAGCAGCCGCGGUAAUACGGGGGGAGCAAGCGUUGUUCGGAUUUACUGGGCGUAAAGGGCGCGUAGGCGGUCGUGACAAGUCACUUGUGAAAUCUCCGGGCCUAACUCGGAACGGUCAAGUGAUACUGUCGGACUAGAGUACAGAAGGGGCAACUGGAAUUCUCGGUGUAGCGGUGAAAUGCGUAGAUAUCGAGAGGAACACCUGCGGCGAAGGCGGGUUGCUGGGCUGAUACUGACGCUGAGGCGCGAAAGCCAGGGGAGCGAACGGG
rnacentral:rRNA from 1 species